UCUCGCCACGCCAAUAGACCCGACGAGCCCCAACGGCCCCACAACUGCAGACUCCAUCGACGAAACGCAACCACACCCAUGUGUUGCUCAGGGGAUCAUCGAUCGCAUGAAAGGUCGUGUGAAUAACAAGAGAUGGGCAAAGGAACGUAAACAAAGAACAGAGAUCGAAAAAGUAUUGAGCUCUACUACUCUACAUGCAGUGAACUAUUUUUCAAUUGAAUUCGCAUUAAAAUAAGUUCUAAACUACCUUCAAUAUUAUAACUAGUGGUCACCUAACGACUCAAUUUCUGGCUACGUUUGCUUACAGCUAAUUGCUAUUCCACAAAGUGUAAUUUGACCUAAACUAUAAUUAACUAAAUUAAUUCAUACUUGAAAAGCUAACUAAUGCUGAAGACCAACUUAGAUUACUAUUCGAUAAUUCGUUCGUUGGAAUCAACAAGCCCUAACUAUAGAAUUGCGGUGACGAAUCACCAAAAGUAAGUAGUGGUAAAUGAGUAUAAUUUACACAAUCUAAUUUUCCCUGUAUUAACAGGAAUUUUGUAAUUCUUUCGGACAUCCCAGAAUAAAUUAACGAAAUCUACUGAUUCGUCUU